rnacentral:rRNA from 1 species
UACGUAGGGCGCAAGCGUUGUCCGGAUUUAUUGGGCGUAAAGAGCGUGUAGGCGGUUUGGUAGGUCCGUUGUGAAAACUCGAGGCUCAACCUCGAGACGCCGAUGGAAACCAUCAGACUAGAGUCCGGAAGAGGAGAGUGGAAUUCCUGGUGUAGCGGUGAAAUGCGCAGAUAUCAGGAAGAACACCCGUGGCUAAGGCGGCUCUCUAGUACGGUACUGACGCUGAGACGCGAAAGCGUGGGGAGCGAACAGG